rnacentral:rRNA from 1 species
UACAGAGGUCUCAAGCGUUGUUCGGAUUCAUUGGGCGUAAGGGUGCGUAGGCGGCGCGGUGAAGUCGGGUGUGAAAUCUCGGGGCUUAACUCCGAAACUGCAUUCGAUACUGCCGUUGCUUGAGGACUGGAGAGGAGACUGGAAUUUACGGUGUAGCGGUGAAAUGCGUAGAUAUCGUAAGGAAGACCAGUGGCGAAGGCGGGUCGUACGUGGACAGUUCCAUGACGCUGAGGCACGAGGCCGGGGAGCAAACGG